rnacentral:pre_miRNA from 1 species
GAACCGGCAUUGUAUUAAGCCUCUCCCAGGCUUAGUCUGUUUGUUUUAAUUGGACUGAGUCCGAGAGUGGCAACAUACAUUGUUGGAUUU